UACGUAGGUGGCAAGCGUUAUCCGGAAUUAUUGGGCGUAAAGCGCGCGCAGGCGGUUUCUUACGUCUGAUGUGAAAGCCCACGGCUCAACCGUGGAGGGUCAUUGGAAACUGGGGAACUUGAGUGCAGAAGAGAAAAGCGGAAUUCCACGUGUAGCGGUGAAAUGCGUAGAGAUGUGGAGGAACACCGGUGGCGAAGGCGGCCUGCUGGGCAGUAGCUGACGCUGAGGCGCGACAGCGUGGGGAGCAAACAGG
rnacentral:rRNA from 1 species